AGCGUAGGCGGUCAAGCAAGUCAGAGGUGAAAGGCAUCGGCUCAACCGAUGUAAGCCUUUGAAACUGUUUGACUUGAGUGCAGGAGAGGUAAGUGGAAUUCCUAGUGUAGUGGUGAAAUGCGUAGAUAUUAGGAGGAACACCAGUGGCGAAGGCGACUUACUGGACUGUAACUGACGCUGAGGCUCGAAAGCGUGGGGAGCGAACA
rnacentral:rRNA from 1 species